GGCUGUCCCCCCGACUUUAUUUUGCUGGGCGUCUACGUGUCAGCUUGAUGUUUGACUGAGAGAGUAUCUCCAAGUUUUAGGUGGAAGAUGUCGGAGACUAACAGAGCCGCACGUAGCGACGGAGACGAGGAGCAGGUUUCUGGUGCUGAAGUCAUCGCCCAGGCCCUGAAAACGCAAGAUGUAGAGUACAUGUUUGGCAUCGUAGGCAUCCCAGUGACCGAAAUCGCCGUUGCGGCCCAGAAGAUGGGCAUCAGAUAUGUCGGGAUGAGGAAUGAGCAAGCGGCUUGUUAUGCUGCCUCUGCGAUUGGAUAUCUGACAGGCAGGCCUGGCGUAUGCCUUGUUGUUUCUGGCCCAGGUCUCAUCCAUGCUUUGGGUGGUAUGGCAAAUGCAAACAUGAACUGUUGGCCCUUGAUUGUGAUUGGUGGUUCUUCUGAAAGAAGUCAGGAAACUAUGGGAGCCUUCCAGGAGUUUCCUCAGGUUGAAGCUUGUAGAUUAUACAGCAAGUUCUCUGCCCGGCCAAGCAGCAUAGAGACUAUUCCCUCUAUUAUCGAGAAGGCAGUGAGAAGCAGCAUUUAUGGUCGUCCAGGUGCUUGUUAUGUUGACAUACCUGCAGAUUUUGUGAACUUGCAGGUGAAUGUGAAUUCUGUAAGGUACAUGGAGUGUUGCACGCCACCUCCUGUUAGUAUGGCAGAGACCUCCGCUAUAUGUAUGGCAGCAACUGUUAUUAGAAAUGCCAAGAAGCCCCUUCUUAUCAUCGGGAAAGGUGCUGCUUAUGCCCAUGCAGAGGAGGGUAUCAGGAAAUUGGUGGAGCGGUGUAAGUUGCCGUUCUUGCCCACCCCCAUGGGAAAGGGUGUUAUCCCUGAUAACCAUCCGAACUGUGUGGCUGCUGCCAGAUCCAGGGCUUUGCAAUUUGCUGAUGUAAUUGUGUUAUUUGGUGCCCGAUUAAAUUGGAUUUUGCAUUUUGGACUGCCUCCAAGAUACCAGCCAGAUGUGAAGUUUAUCCAGGUUGAUAUCUGUGCAGAAGAAUUGGGGAAUAAUGUAAAGCCUGCUGUGACUUUGCUAGGAGACAUAAAUGCUGUCACUAAACAGCUUUUAGAACAAUUUGAUAAAACGCCAUGGCAGUAUCCUCCAGAGAGCAGCUGGUGGAAAACUCUGAGAGAAAAAAUGAAGAGCAAUGAAGCCGCAUCCAAGGAAUUAGCUUCCCAAAAAUCUCUGCCUAUGAAUUAUUACACAGUAUUCUAUCAUGUUCAAGAACAGCUACCUAGAGACUGUUUUGUAGUAAGUGAAGGAGCAAAUACUAUGGAUAUUGGACGCACUGUGCUUCAAAACUACCUUCCUCGUCACAGGCUUGAUGCUGGUACUUUUGGAACCAUGGGAGUUGGUUUGGGCUUUGCCAUUGCAGCCGCUAUACUGGCUAAAGCUAGAAACACAGGUCAGCGGGUCAUCUGUGUGGAAGGAGACAGUGCAUUUGGGUUUUCUGGCAUGGAAGUGGAAACCAUCUGUAGGUACAACUUGCCCAUCAUUCUUUUGGUGGUGAACAAUAAUGGAAUUUACCAAGGUUUUGAUGUGGAUAGUUGGCAGGAAAUGUUAAAAUUUGGAGACGCUACUGCAGUGGCCCCUCCCGUCUGUCUUUUGCCAAACUCACAUUACGAGCAGGUUAUGACUGCGUUUGGAGGCAAAGGGUAUUUCGUACAAACACCGGAAGAGCUCCAAAAAUCACUGAGGGAGAGUUUGGCAGACACAACUGCACCUUCUCUUAUCAAUAUCAUGAUUGAGCCACAAGCCACGCGGAAAGCCCAGGAUUUUCACUGGCUGACACGCUCUAAGAUAUAAAGAUGUCCGGGAAUGGUCGUGAGGAGUUUUCUUUCCUGAGCAGCAAAAGAUGGAAGAGAAUCUCCCUACAAGGAGUCACUGAGGCUGCAGGGCUUGAAUGUCUUCCCCAAAGGAUGUGAAAUCGGAAAAGAAUCCCUACCCUUUUUAAGUUGGCACUGGUGUUCCUGGAUGCCUGGAGUAAAAGGUUUCAGUUCAAGAACCAUCACUCCUCGGUCAUCGUAAACCAUUGGGAGAUCUCCUCUGAAGUCUCCAGCCCUCCCUAACUUCCUACCAUAAAAGAUUUCCUGUCCUCCCUACCAGAGGAAGGAGUGUGCUUUCACAUCUUCAGAGCUGAACGAUUCUUGGACUCACAGCAUUUCUAGGUCCAGUUCCAGGUAGUUCAAGGCCAACUCGGUGCAAAUCUCUUCCCUGAAAGUGAGGACAGCAAGCUCCCUGCCCUGGGAUUAGAACUGCAG